GGGGCAAUAACUCAGUGGUAGAGUGCUUCGUUUGCAUCGAAGAAGUCUGGCGUUCAAUCCGCCAUUGUUCCA